CGGAGGCAGCAGCGGUGAAAGAUAUAAACGGAUCGGGCCACCCAACGUUUUCCGCGCCCACACGCCUCCUGUGCUGCGUGGCUGCCUUGUUCCGCUUUAUGCCCCCCUCCCUUACCGUAAAGCGUAGCGUACUGCGAAAUGGCGAGUGGUCGGGUCACACCAAGUUUUGUGUGCCUAGUACCUCGUACGCUGCUGCAACCUUUGCAACCGCGCGACGGGAAGGCAAAGAGAUACCGCCUGGCGCCCCAGUGGGAGGAUGUUGUUGUUGUGGUGGUGGUGGUGGCGGUGGUGGUGAUUUCAGUGAUGCUGACGGGGGGCUCUGUCAGCCUGCCGGCCGGGAAGGCUAUCUCUUCCGUUGGACAAGUGCAGCCUUGGUCGCGGGUGUGUAUUUGUGUGUGUGUGUGCUUUGCGCGAGUUAGUCUUCUUGGUGAUGAGGCCCAAUCGAUGCUGCUAGGAUAUGUAUAGUACUACUCGUAUUCCUCAACGACUCCUU
rnacentral:lncRNA from 1 species